AUUGAACGCUGGCGGCAGGCCUAACACAUGCGAGUCGAGCGGGGUUUUCGGACCUAGCGGCGGAUGGGUGAGUAAUGCGUAGGAAGCUACCCGAUAGAGGGGGAUACCAGUUGGAAACGACUGUUAAUACCGCAUAAUGUCUACGGACCAAAGUGUGGGACCUUCGGGCCACAUGCUAUCGGAUGCGCCUACGUGGGAUUAGCUAGUUGGUGAGGUAAUGGCUCACCAAGGCGACGAUCCCUAGCUGGUUUGAGAGGAUGAUCAGCCACACUGGAACUGAGACACGGUCCAGACUCCUACGGGAGGCAGCAGUGGGGAAUAUUGGACAAUGGGCGCAAGCCUGAUCCAGCCAUGCCGCGUGUGUGAAGAAGGCCUUCGGGUUGUAAAGCACUUUCAGUAGGGAGGAAGCGUUGUGUGUUAAUAGUACACAGCGUUGACGUUACCUACAGAAGAAGCACCGGCUAACUCUGUGCCAGCAGCCGCAGUAACAC
rnacentral:rRNA from 1 species